CCUACGGGAGGCUGCAGUAGGGAAUAUUGCACAAUGGGGGAAACCCUGAUGCAGCGACGCCGCGUGAGUGAAGAAGUAUCUCGGUAUGUAAAGCUCUAUCGGCAGGGAAGAAAAUGACGGUACCUGACUAAGAAGCCCCGGCUAACUCCGUGCCAGCAGCCGCGGUAAUACGUAGGGUGCAAGCGUUAUCCGGAUUUACUGGGUGUAAAGGGAGCGUAGGCGGGGCUGCAAGUCCGGUGUGAAAGCCCAUGGCUUAACCAUGGUACUGCUUUGGAAACUGUGGUUCUAGAGUGUGGGAGGGGCAGGCGGAAUUCCUAGUGUAGCGGUGAAAUCCGUAGAUAUUAGGAGGAACACUCGCGGCGAAGGCGGCCUGCUGGACCGUAACUGACGUUGAUGCUCGAAAGCGUGGGGAGCAAACAGGAUUAGAUACCCUUGUAGUC
rnacentral:rRNA from 1 species